rnacentral:lncRNA from 1 species
GUUAACUCUUAUUGUGUUUAUUCUUUAUUGUUUAUUUUCUUUCAAUACAAUACAUGUUUCAUGUCCAGCUGGCACAGGAUUGACUCCUGGUGGAACCCAACUCAGUGAUCUGUGCAGUGUGGUGUUUUCCAAACUGGCCAAGGUGUCUGCAGGGCCCUCAGAAUUUUCCAAGCAAGAAAAGAUUUGGCUACUUGGAGAAACUUCAUCCUUCUGGAGGCAUCACCUCCAGAAUCUACUUGAAGUGGAUGACACUGACUUCCAUGAACUGUUUUCCUGUGAGUAAUUUCUCCAUUUUAGACAGAGUUAUCCAUGGGAAGGUGAGUCUGAUCAAGCUGCUUGACCAUGAUCAGAACAAUUUGCUUCCCCAUUGCAUCAUCAAACUUUAAUUUAAAAAGCCCCACUUUCUGUCCGUCCCCAUAGCUCCUCCCUCACCCACCAAAAUGAGUCACUUGGGGCAGUGGUGGGCAGAUGAUUUCAGAUAUCCUGAUCUCAAUUCCCUGAUGUCAGUACGUCUGCACAUUCUUUGUUUUUUUUUUUUCAACUUUUAAGUUCUGGAGUACACAUACAGGAUAUGCAGGUUUGUUACAUAAGUAAACAUGUGCCAUCGUGGUUUGCUGCAAAGAUCAUAGCAUUACCUAGGUAUUAAGCCCAGCAUCCAUUAGUUAUUCCUCUUGAAGCUCUCCCUCCCCCAGCUCCCUGCUCCAAGAGGCCCCAGUGUGUGUUGCUUCCCUCUAGGUGUCCAUGUGUUCUCAUCAUCAAGCUCCCACUAAUAAGUGAGAACAUGUGGUAUUUUGUUUUCUGUUCCUGCAUUAGUUUGCUGAGGGUGAUGGCUUCCAA